AAAGACCAACAAAACAUACUCUGAGAUUUUAUUAAACAUGGAAUAUGUCAGAAACAUAGCAAAAGAAGAAAUGUUAUACUACUCUGAUUGUGCUUAUCCCCAAAAGUCAAUGUAAUACUAUUGUCAAAUGUUGCCUUCAAAAAUGCAUAUAUCAGAACAUUCAGUGGAUAACAGGAAAAGCCUAAUAAAACUUGAACUUUUGGCAUUACAAUUGGAAAAAAAUACAGCGAAAUGGCUCGAAAGCCUAAACUAAAAGCUAAGUUCAGUGCAUACUAUAGACUUAACAUAUGCUAUGCAUAUCUAUGGUAUAUAUUUUCAUCCAUUUUAGUGUUUAAAUACCUUUUAAUACAUAAGACAUACAUUAAUACAUAAAUAAACUGCCCAGCCUCUGACAAACAUAACACUGUUCUGAUGUUCUAAACAUUAUCCCAUGCUCCCAUAGGUCCGUCCUGUAUGCGACCACCAAAGGAAUUUGGAGCGGAGGGAUGUAUUUGGUGCUUCCCAUUGUCCUCUGUGGACAAAGUUGCUGAGAUCAGCUCUUCAGCGCACCUGGCAGGCUCUUCCUGGGCACCCGGGCAGCAGCUGUCGGAAUACACUCGGCUUUGUGUUUUUAUACGAGAGAAGAGCACAGAGUGAGUGCCACAUAUGAAGACUGGGAAUCAAAGGAAGCCGUGGAAUGCGUCUGGGUAAAAAUGAACACAAAAAUGAAUGACGGUUGCGCAGUCUACAGAUCAUCUUCGUCCUUCGUUUUUUCUUUUGUUAUUAAAUCACUUAACUACAGUAGACCUGCCUGUGUGUCUGCAUUUGGGUCCAACUUAUGCUUUCCUGGUUCCCCGGCUUGAUUAACCAUGACAGUACGAUCUGACCAUUUAUGGACCCAGCAGAUUAUUCCGAGGAAGAGCAUGUUGUCAUUUGUGACCUGAGAUGGAGCAAGACAAUCAAUGUCUUCCACAGAGAGGCAGUCACUGCUCUGGUGCAUGGGAAAUUGUCAGCCAUGCCUGGUCUGAAGGAAGCCAUUCCUGAACGGGUCACAGAUUUCCUCUGAACCCAGAGACCUCAAACUGAAUCCUAGCUAGCUAGCAACCAGCAUGCUAGCUUCCAGCCUUCAAGCCAGCCUGCCUGUUCUGAGUUGACCUCUGCCCCAAACCCAUACCUGGGGCCCACCUGGCCCUGGGAGGUCCUUGCAGCCUUCAGCUUAGCUUCUGGCCUACUAGUUACCAGCCUUCCCUCCGGCCUGCUAGCUUUCAGCCUGCACCUCAGCCUGUUCCUGUCCUGAAGCCACCUUCUGGAAAGACCCCCAGAAGGAAGCAUGGCUCCCGUGACGUCUUGCUUCACCGCUGCCCAGCUGCUCGUCCUCACUGCUGCCCUGCGCUGUGGAGGUCCCGCUGCCCAGCACUCCAGAGACUCACUAGUACCGCCAUGUCCUGCCUGUGCUGGAUCGCAGCUGCCUCCUGUCCUGCUUGGGACUCAACCAUCUCCUCUUCCUGCUUUGGUUGGGCUGCAACGUCCUGAGCUGCAGCUGUCUCCUGUUCCUGCUGAGCUGCAGCAGCCACCUGUUCAUGAACUGCAGCAAUCUGCUGAGCCGCAUCUGUUUCCUGAACCUUGUUAGCUGCAGGUGAACUGCUACUGUCUCCUGUUUCUAAGCUACAUCAGUCUCCCGUUUCUCCUGACUCUGCUGAGCUGCAGCAGCCUCCUGAACUGCAGAUGUCUACUGAUUCUGCUGAACUACUGGAAUUGCAUCUUCCUGAGCUGCUGGAAUCACCAGACCCUGAGCUGCGGCAGCCUCCUGAUCCACUUGAGCUGCAGCCUCCUGGUUUCUUGGUAUCCCUGGUUCUACCGACUACUCUGCCAGCCUCCCUGUCCCCGGUCUGCUGCCCUGCUGCCCUGCUGCCCUGUCACCAACCUCCAGUUCUGCAUCCCUAUCGUCGGUCUCAUGCUCAGAUCUCCAGCCACGUUGCCAGCCUCCAGAGGGGUUCCGCCUCCGCCCGCCGGCCUCCAGAGGGUCUUUGCCUCUGGCAUCCAGUCUGACCUCUGGAGGGGUUUUGCCCUUGUUGCUGACCUCUGGAGUUGCUCCACACGUCUGGUCAUCGUUUGGACCUGCUCUGCCCUUCAUUCGUGCCCCCAGGCUGUCCGCCUGAGGUCUUCUGCUUGGCCCUUGAAUCCCAUCAGGUUCCCUGGCUUGACAAACCAUGACAGUUCCUCUGUUUGAUAUUAAAUAAAUAUAUAUUAAGUUAUUAAAACAACAAAUCACAAAAAUAUACAGCUCACUCAAUAAUAUAUAUAUUGAGUCAUGUCAUAUCAUUUUGUAUCAAAAUUAUCUACCUUUGUCAAAUAUACUCAGACCUCAAAACUAUUAUCUAUUAUUGAUUCAUACUUUGGACACAGAGUAAAUGCAGCUUAGUGUGAUGGAGUGAAGUGUUUUCAUUCCAACGUUGGAAUUCCUGGUUUAAAGAUAUAUUUGACUAUAUCAGAACAACAACAAUCAGUUAUAUCACUUGGUCUAUAGUUUUUGUCUGCAAAUAGUCGCUACUCCACAGCACAUUUCUGCAACAUCUUCCAUGUCUAAACAUGAAUGCAAGCAUUUUAAGCACAAAGUGCUCCUGGACAUCAGCCCUCCACAUUGUAACAUAGUCAUAAUACUGUCAUAAUAAGCAAUUCUGCAAGUUCCUUAUCAACAGCACUUGGUAAUUUCCUGAUCCUGAAAUAGGAAAUAUGGGAUGUGUCAAGCAGCUUAUGCUGUUUCAAACGGCUACCUCAGGAGGGAGCUGCAACUGCUCAGGAUUCUGUAAUAAUUUCAGUCAGCUAUCGACUGCAGGCUCUGUCACCUGUCACCUUCUCAACCUGCUCCUGUUUGUCCUUACCACCUUAUUCCCUGUGAACACUCCUGGCAUAACGUAAGCAACAGCUUUUGCUUGUGAAGUAGGACAGAACCCAGAAUCAACCCUGCUCUCUCACUAACUAAAUUGACAGCAGUCUGCCAGUAUUUCAGGUCUUCUUGUGUCUCUUUUGUCCUUUCAGUACCCUUCCUGUGAUCUGUGCACUGUGUCCUUUCAUGACAGGAAAAUCAGACUUUGUCAACCUGCUGGAUGACUUCCUCCAGGUGACAAAUGUUGUCUUUCUUGCUCUGUUCUCUCUCGGUAUUGUCUUUGUUUUCAUAUUUAUCCUUUUGGAGUAAGUGAAGAGUUCAUGUAAUGCACCUGUUUAGUUGUCUCUUUCAUGUGCCUUCUGUAAAUACUUCAAUUAGUGUGUGAGGGAGGAGGAUUUCAGCUGCUGUCUCUGAGAUGUAAUUUACUCUCAUGCCAAGACAAACUCCACUGGUUACAAGUGUCCUUUGUAUAUUUAUCAUUUUACCAUGUGUCAUUUCAGUCGAGGGGUAACAGGAUGAAAGACACUGAAAACUUAGCCCUUCAGUCAUAGACAUUUUAGUGAGUUGUUACAGUGAUUUAGGAGAAGUGUCAUUGUAAAACGAAGGCCUGCUCUUUCUUCCUUACAUUAAACAGCGGUGUGUUGUCCUCGGUCAUUAAAAUGUAAAUAAUUUGACCACUCCCAUGGUGAAACCUCCCAUGUAAACAGCCUCAGUGCCAUGUACCAGCCCUCCACUGAUAUGAACUUUGUUUAGGGGUAGAGUCAGGGCAGAGAGGAGGGAACUACUUGAGGAGACUUAACUUUGAAAAGCCCUUUCAUGUCAUGGAAAAGCGAUGAACUUCUGUUGUAGUUUAUUGCCGGUGUGAUUUUUAAAAGCAUCCCCCUGGCUCUUUGAAGUGGGAAUGGGUCUGUUUUUCCUCUGCAGCGGUGUGACUGUGUCACUGCUCAUCUGUUUCUUGCCUCUGAUUAGAUCAGAUGAAAUCCUUUUUCAAUGUCCAAACUGGUCAGACUGAACUAAAACUGGUUCUAACACAGAGCACCGAAUUACACUCUGCAAAUGCAAUUCAAUCUUACAGGUGUCUGGUGAAAUUCUGGUGACUUGUCCUAUAUCGGAUGACAUGAAAAUGAUUACAAAAGAUGAUGUGUUGCUCUACUGUUGCUAUACAGUAUAUGUUAACCUCAGCUUUAAAGGAAGAGUGUGGCAUUUUGGGAAAUAAAUUUUUUGCCAUUAGUGUUAGAUGAGAAGUUCGAUACCACUCAUGUCUGUACGGUAAAUAUGAAGCUACAGCCAGCAGUUGUUAGCUUAGCUUAGCAUAAAGACUGGAA